rnacentral:misc_RNA from 1 species
GGAAAAGGGCGUAAGCCGUUCACUUUUUCGACGAAGUAUCGUUCGAUACUGAUUUAGAGCACAUAUGUGGAUAUAGUAGAAAUUACAGAAAGUAAAAUAUAAUCUUCUAAAGUCGGACUUUUUUCUUUCAAGGACUAUCUGGAAAAAUGACAACUUGUCCGGAAAUAGCCAGUCAGAGUCACUCUGAUAUUGUGCUCAGCACUUACGAAAGAACAAAUGGUACAAGCGUUGUGAUUGGCUGUAAAGGUUUUGGACGUCAUGUGUCUGGACCAACCAAUGUUGAAUGUCUCGAUACAGGGGCAUGGUCUGCGACACCAAAACUAGAAUGUGAAAUUGGUCUCGACGAAAAAGAAAAGCUCAUUCUUGCUGCUGGAGUAGUAAGUGCUGCUCUCGUGCUUAUCACACUGGCUGCGAUAUGCUGUUAUUGCUGUUGCUGCAGACGCAGACGACGCUAUAGACGUCACUACAAAGGCUGGAGAGACCGGGGUGAUAAUUGGAAGGAUGGAUGGUCGGGCUGGACCAGCAGAUGGUUCAGUGGUUCUUCCGGUGACAAUCACAUGAAGAGAGGCAAUCAUUUCUAUGAUUAUAAUUCUAGCCCUUCAAAAAGUUUCGUGCACGAAUAUGGUUACUCUAGCGACAACAGAGAUGGGAAGGAGAACUUUUCGAAGAAGUCGAAAUUCUUCGGACGUUCUAGAAGGUAUUCGGAUGGGGAUAAAUAUUCGGUUGAUAGACAAGAUUUUUCGAAAAGGACAAAUUUCCUAAGGGAAUCUGGAAAAUAUUCAGACAUGGAUAAAUACUCAAAUGAUCGGAAUGACUUUUACAAAAAGUCAAAUUUCCUGCAGCAAUCUGGGAAAUAUUCCGAUAUGGACAAGAGAUCGGCUGAUCAGCAAGACUUUUCCAAAAGGUCAAAUUUUCUACGACAAUCUGGGUGGCAUUCUGGAAUGGAUAGGUACUCAGGUGACCGUUUGGAUAAGAGACGUAAGGGGUGGAGGGGAUGGACUGACACUUUAAGGGAGAACUGGAUUGAUUGGCGACACCGAGCUUUUGGGGACUCCCUUGCAGACGGCUCAGUUAGAAGGCGCGAUAAUCGUUAUGAUGGCUCAUAUCCUGGAAGGGGUUUCAGACAAGGAUAUAGUCGAUAUUCCGAUGGGGAUAGACAAUCGGUUGAUCGACGGGAAAUAAUGCGGUCAAGACGAUACUCGAAUGACUAUGUGCCACCUCCUGGCGACUUCCGGCGCGGUCGCAGAUACUCUGACCCGUCUGUCUUAACACACAGAAAUCGAUAUGCUAAGCGAGAGGUUUCAUAUGAUUCCAUGCCGGAGGAAGUAAGUUAUCACCGCACGCGUAGAUACUCCGAUCCAAUGGUGUAUAGAUCUGAACAGUAUCCUCAAAGACAAAAUGCUUCGUACGAAUCCAGGAUUGUCACGAGUGGUGACUCAUAUAGACCGUCUUACAAUAUAAUCAGGGUAGAUGACUCUGCGCAAAAAAUAAGCGGGAGAGAACCAACAACGUCGGAGUAUGUAACAACGUCGGAAUAUGUUGACAAACCUGUUGUCUACGCCGGUACAGACGUGUACCGGCAUAUAGAAGGACCUUCUACGAUACUGGAACCGAUAUAUUACUCCGAUCCGAAUUAUUAUCACAUCGGGUCGCGGCAAAGUGGAGCGCUAUUAAACAGGACAGGCGCGGUAUAGCGGCGGAGCACUCUUAAACGGACAGGCGCGGUAUAGCGGUGGAGCACUCUUAAACGGACAGGCGCGGUAUAGCGGCGGGGCGCUUUAUAGCGGACAGUCGUUAAAGCACGUUUCUGGGCAUGGGAAUUAUGAUGGGCUGUUGCGCCUUCCACCUAUUUCACUGGAUAAACUUUCAAAAGUCGUAGACAUUGACUUAAACAAAUUUAACCAAUCCUACGGCACCCAGAUAGCCUCUUCGCCAAGGAUUUUAGAGUUAAAUGGGGACAGACACGUGACUACUCAGCGCAUAGGUACAGAUAUUGGGCGGAUAAAUACCGGUCAUUAUGAAGUUCUGUCUGCAAAUCCAUCAUCAGGGUACAUUGUUGAACGACAGGAAUUUCCAGUCGAGAGCAGUACGAAGAAAGGCGGACAUUACACGUUGUACCAGGGUAAAGGAAAAACUACCGAAAUAUUUAAUAAUGAUACCGACCCAAAGACAUUCUUUUAAAUAU